UACAGAGGUGGCAAGCGUUGUUCGGAAUUACUGGGCGUAAAGGGCGCGUAGGCGGUCUGCUAAGUUGGAUGUGAAAACUCUGGGCUUAACCCAGAGCCUGCAUUCAAUACUGACAGGCUAGAGUUCUGGAGGGGAUAGCGGAAUUCCUGGUGUAGCGGUGAAAUGCGUAGAUAUCGGGAGGAACACCGGUGGCGAAGGCGGAUCUCUGGGCCGUAACUGACGCUGAGGAGCGAAAGCAUGGGGAGCGAACAGG
rnacentral:rRNA from 1 species